UGACCGCUGGCGGCGUGCCUACUACAUGCACGUCGAGCGAACGGACGCGAAGCUUGCUUCUCUGAUGUUAGCGGCGGACGGGUGAGUAACACGUGGAUAACCUACCUAUAAGACUGGGAUAACUUCGGGAAACCGGAGCUAAUACCGGAUAAUAUUUUGAACCGCAUGGUUCAAAAGUGAAAGACGGUCUUGCUGUCACUUAUAGAUGGAUCCGCGCUGCAUUAGCUAGUUGGUAAGGUAACGGCUUACCAAGGCAACGAUGCAUAGCCGACCUGAGAGGGUGAUCGGCCACACUGGAACUGAGACACGGUCCAGACUCCUACGGGAGGCAGCAGUAGGGAAUCUUCCGCAAUGGGCGAAAGCCUGACGGAGCAACGCCGCGUGAGUGAUGAAGGUCUUCGGAUCGUAAAACUCUGUUAUUAGGGAAGAACAUAUGUGUAAGUAACUGUGCACAUCUUGACGGUACCUAAUCAGAAAGCCACGGCUAACUACGUG
rnacentral:rRNA from 1 species